AUUGAACGCUGGCGGCAUGCCUUACACAUGCAAGUCGAACGGUAGCGGGCCUUCGGGUGCCGACGAGUGGCGAACGGGUGAGUAAUGUAUCGGAACGUACCUUUCAGUGGGGGAUAACGUAGCAAAAGUUACGCUAAUACCGCAUAUUCUGUGCGCAGGAAAGCAGGGGACCUUCGGGCCUUGCGCUGAUUGAGCGGCCGAUAUCAGAUUAGACUAGUUGGAGAGGUAAAGGCUCACCAAGGCAACGAUCUGUAGCGGGUCUGAGAGGAUGAUCCGCCACACUGGAACUGAGACACGGUCCAGACUCCUACGGGAGGCAGCAGUGGGGAAUUUUGGACAAUGGGGGCAACCCUGAUCCAGCCAUGCCGCGUGAGUGAAGAAGGCCUUCGGGUUGUAAAGCUCUUUCGGCCGGGAAGAAAUCGUAUCAGCUAGUACCUGGUGCGGAUGACGGUACCGGCAUAAGAAGCACCGGCUAACUACGUGCCAGCCGCCGCCGUAACAC
rnacentral:rRNA from 1 species